rnacentral:tRNA from 1 species
GACCCCUUCGUCUAGCGGUUAGGACACCACCCUUUCACGGUGGUAACGCGGGUUCGAUUCCCGCAGGGGUCACCA